UAUGGUAAUGCCAGCCGCCGCGGUAAUACGUAGGGGGCAAGCGUUAUCCGGAUUUACUGGGUGUAAAGGGAGCGUAGACGGCAAGGCAAGUCUGAUGUGAAAACCCAGGGCUUAACCCUGGGACUGCAUUGGAAACUGUCUGGCUCGAGUGCCGGAGAGGUAAGCGGAAUUCCUAGUGUAGCGGUGAAAUGCGUAGAUAUUAGGAAGAACACCAGUGGCGAAGGCGGCUUACUGGACGGUAACUGACGUUGAGGCUCGAAAGCGUGGGGAGCAAACAGG
rnacentral:rRNA from 1 species